rnacentral:sRNA from 1 species
AAAUAUUCAUAUUUGGUUUUUUUCUGUAUACAAUGAACUGAUUGCAUUCUGAACUUUAUUCACAUAUAUAAGGAUAACUGCAAAAAUAUAUAUUAUUUCAAUCUUUAUUUUCUAGACCUGUUCAGGAUUUAAUUUUCUUUCCGACAUUAUUUCAUCAUUAAAUGUACAUUUCAUUUUGUAUAGCUCUGAAAUGUGCGAAUUUAUUUUAGAUGAUACUGAAUGAUAGAAUGAUACUUUAAUGUCUAAUAAUCUAGGAAAUCAUUUGUUAUUGUAAUAUUAUGUUCUGAAUAUAUGAUGUUUCUAUAAUAUAAAGUCUGUUUU